AACGAACGCUGGCGGCAUGCCUAACACAUGCAAGUCGAACGAGACCUUCGGGUCUAGUGGCGCACGGGUGCGUAACGCGUGGGAAUCUGCCUUUGCUUCGGAAUAACAGUUAGAAAUGACUGCUAAUACCGGAUGAUGUCUUCGGACCAAAGAUUUAUCGGCAAAGGAUGAGCCCGCGUAGGAUUAGGUAGUUGGUGGGUAAAGGCCUACCAAGCGACGAUCCUUAGCUGGUCUGAGAGGAUGAUCAGCCACACUGGGACUGAGACACGGCCCAGACUCCUACGGGAGGCAGCAGUGGGAAUAUUGGACAAUGGGCGCAAGCCUGAUCCAGCAAUGCCGCGUGAGUGAUGAAGGCCUCGGUCGGUUAAGACGUCUUUACCUACGGA
rnacentral:rRNA from 1 species